ACAUUUAUUUUACUUAUAUACCUAUGCGUAUGUGUAUGAAUGUAAAGUCUCCAUAUUAGUGAGAUCUGUCAUAGACAUCAAACUUUGACAUCAAACUUUUAGUGAAAUUUUACUGUAUAGUGAGAACCAUAAAUACAGUACCAGAGCCUAGAGCUUUCUGGGAAAGCAAAUACUCUUAAGAGGGGGAUUGUUUUUAAGCAGAAAGAUUCUUUAGAGAAAGAUGCAGGUGAAGUAACUUCAUUGUAGCCCCUUGGCCCUUUCCUAGCAAAAAUACAAAAAUACCAAGCUUGUUUUGGCUACCAUUUUAUUCUUUGUGUGCCCAGGACACUACUUCCAUCCAAAAUAUGGUCUAUAUGUCUAGGCAGUUUAGUGACUCCCUUCUACCAAGGCUAGACCCAAUCCAGGCCCCAGAGGACAUCAGCAUUUAACCUUUAGAGGGACCACACACUGGUUAGCCACCCAAUUCUGUCCUUUUGGAUGCUAUC